UACAGAGGUCUCAAGCGUUGUUCGGAUUCAUUGGGCGUAAAGGGUGCGUAGGCGGCGCGGUAAGUCGGGUGUGAAAUCUCGGAGCUUAACUCCGAAACUGCAUUCGAUACUGCCGUGCUUGAGGACUGGAGAGGAGACUGGAAUUUACGGUGUAGCGGUGAAAUGCGUAGAGAUCGGCAGGAACACCCAGGGGGAAACCAGUCGACUGGGCAUCUACUGACGCUGAGGUGCGAGAGCGUGGGGAGCGAACCGG
rnacentral:rRNA from 1 species